ensembl:lncRNA
GCCUGGCUGGCUAGUCUAUGGGGUUGCAAAGAAUCAGACACUGAGUGACUGACACUUUCAUACUUCUUUCAUCUCCAUUUUACAGAUAAGAAAACUGAGGCACAAGACAAUGAGGUGACUUGCCCAAGGUCAUCUCUUAGUAAGAAGAGGAGCCAGAUUCAAACCCACGCUCUCUGGAACCCGCAUUCACGUUCCUAACGCUCUUUGCUUCUGUCUCUUGCUCAUCUUGGGAAGCCAGACAACUCCCAGAGCUGGAAAUCUCUCUCUCUGCUAAUUGCUGUCAUCAUCCAUCAAGAUCACCAACAGAGCAGCAUUCCAGCCAGAGAGGCCUUGGGGCCCAGGUGAGCUCCAGGACCAGGAAGCCAGGGGCCCAUAUGGGGCUGCACCUGCUGGGCAUCUCCAUCAGGAGGCGCCAAGGAGACACACGCAGUCGGAGUCCGGACCAGCCUCUCAGGCUGUGUACCUUGGAGUCAUUGGCCCUGGGACUACCAAGCCACCUACCUUGGGGACCUGGGGGUGGCGGAGCUAUGUGGUUCAGGAUGCCUUCAACAUUUUAA